GUCUGGAGCCGUGGCUGAGCGGUAGAGCAUCGUGCUUUGCACACCAAAGGUCCCUGGUUCAAUCCCCAGGCAGGACU